AGUUUUGCCAAGUUCGUGGUUUUAUCUUUCAACGGAAAAGUAGAAAUCUUCGGGUGGGGGGCGCGUGAUUGGGAUAGUUUUAAAUAGAAUGGGAAUGGUUGAUUUGCAGACCUGGAAAACCCGGCAUAUCAAAUCUACCGAAGCAUUUGAAUCCAAACUGUGGACUGACGGAGGAAGUUAAAGAUCCACUUUUUGAAACCAGUGCAAGAUCUGCUCAAGGGUCAGCCGUUCAGUUGGAUCAUGGGACAAUGAGAUCACGGCAUUCUGUUUUCAGAAGAGAGCUGAUAAAUCUGCAUGAUUUCCAUUAUGUUGUGAAAUGGAGAACACUUUCACCAUCUCAUACAACAGCACUCCUAGAGCCCAGACGUUUAUAGAGAUGGCGUGGACUUUGCCACAGAUGAAGAGUUCAGAUCCACUGUUUUACACCAGUCAUGCUGCAAGAUCUGCUCGAGGGUCAGCCGUUCAGCUGGAUCACGGUUUAGGCACUGGACAAUCAGAUCACGGCAUUCUGUUUUCAGGAGAGAGCUGCUUACAGUUUGAAGAUACUGAUCCCGUACAGUCUUUUGAAUACGUUUGAUGGCAACCUGCAAAAGAUUUACCAUUAGUGGGGGCGCAGUCUGAAGACUCUGGGACAGGUGACGGCUCAGGAUCAUCCAGUUCUGGUGGAGGAACAAAAGGCUCCACU